GCCCAGGUGGUGAAAUUGGUAGACACGCUAGCUUCAGGUGCUAGUGGCCGUAUGGCCGUGGAGGUUCAAGUCCUCUCCUGGGCACCA
rnacentral:tRNA from 1 species